AACGAACGCUGGCGGCGUACUUAACACAUGCAAGUCGGACGAGAAAGGGGACUUUCGGUUUCCUGAGUACAGUGGCGCACGGGUGCGUAACACGUAAGUAAUCUACCCCGAACCCUGGGGAUAACCCUCCGAAAGGAGGGCUAAGACUGGAUAGGGUCCCCGAGGUAUAGGCUGCGGGGGGGGGAAAACGGGGCCUCUGAUUCACGCUCGUGGUGCGGGAUGAGCUUGCGGCCCAUUAGCUAGUUGGUAGGGUAAUGGCCUACCAAGGCAACGAUGGGUAGCUGGUCUGAGAGGAUGAUCAGCCACACUGGCACUGAGACACGGGCCAGACUCCUACGGGAGGCAGCAGUGGGGAAUUUUGCGCAAUGGGCGAAAGCCUGACGCAGUAACGCCGCGUGGAGGAUGAAGGCCUUCGGGUUGUAAACUCCUGUCAGGGGGAACGACGGGGAUAGGGGGACAACCUCUGUCCACCAGACGGUACCUCCAAAGGAAGCCCCGGCUAAUUCCGUGCCAGCAGCCGCGGUAA
rnacentral:rRNA from 1 species